CGGGUGUCGCUGAUGGAUGGGCCCGCGGUGCAUUAGCUAGUUGGUGAGGUAACGGCUCACCAAGGCGACGAUGCAUAGCCGACCUGAGAGGGUGAUCGGCCACAUUGGGACUGAGACACGGCCCAAACUCCUACGGGAGGCAGCAGUAGGGAAUCUUCGGCAAUGGACGAAAGUCUGACCGAGCAACGCCGCGUGAGUGAAGAAGGUUUUCGGAUCGUAAAACUCUGUUGUUAGAGAAGAACAAGGAUGAGAGUAACUGUUCAUCCCUUGACGGUAUCUAACCAGAAAGCCACGGCUAACUACGUGCCAGCAGCCGCGGUAAUACGUAGGUGGCAAGCGUUGUCCGGAUUUAUUGGGCGUAAAGCGAGCGCAGGCGGUUUCUUAAGUCUGAUGUGAAAGCCCCCGGCUCAACCGGGGAGGGUCAUUGGAAACUGGGAGACUUGAGUGCAGAAGAGGAGAGUGGAAUUCCAUGUGUAGCGGUGAAAUGCGUAGAUAUAUGGAGGAACACCAGUGGCGAAGGCGGCUCUCUGGUCUGUAACUGACGCUGAGGCUCGAAAGCGUGGGGAGCAAACAGGAUUAGAUACCCUGGUAGUCCACGCCGU
rnacentral:rRNA from 1 species